UACGUAGGGGGCAAGCGUUGUCCGGAUUUAUUGGGCGUAAAGAGCGUGUAGGCGGUUAGGUAGGUCCGUUGUGAAAACUCGAGGCUCAACCUCGAGACGCCGAUGGAAACCAUCUAACUAGAGUCCGGAAGAGGAGAGUGGAAUUCUUGGUGUAGCGGUGAAAUGCGCAGAUAUCAGGAAGAACACCCGUGGCUAAGGCGGCUCUCUAGUACGGUACUGACGCUGAGACGCGAAAGCGUGGGGAGCGAACAGG
rnacentral:rRNA from 1 species